AACGAACGCUGGCGGCAUGCCUAACACAUGCAAGUCGAACGAGACCUUCGGGUCUAGUGGCGCACGGGUGCGUAACGCGUGGGAACCUGCCCUUAGGUUCGGAAUAACUCCCCGAAAGGGGUGCUAAUACCGGAUAAUGUCUUCGGACCAAAGAUUUAUCGCCUUUGGAUGGGCCCGCGUUGGAUUAGCUAGUUGGUAGGGUAAAAGCCUACCAAGGCGACGAUCCAUAGCUGGUCUGAGAGGAUGAUCAGCCACACUGGGACUGAGACACGGCCCAGACUCCUACGGGAGGCAGCAGUGGGGAAUAUUAGACGAUGAGCGAAGGCCUGAUCCAGCAAUGCCGCGUGAGUGAUGAAGGCCUUAGGGUUGUAAAGCUCUUUUACCCGGGAUGAUAAUGACAGUACCGGGAGAAUAAGCUCCGGCUAACUCCGUG
rnacentral:rRNA from 1 species